UAAUGCCGUGAACCGUACUUCCUUACCAUCUCGUUAGGGGCCAACAUCCUUAUAGAGUAUAUUAUGUAUAUAUUAUGUUAGUAUAUGGUUUGGGUCGACCAAUGCUAGGGUUGUACCAUUCCAACGUGCAUUGCUGGAUACUUGGUCGUUCGGUUCUGAUGUUAUUACUCUGUCUGACGAUAUUAUUCUGUUCUGAUGAUUAAGUUAUGU